AUACUUACCUGGCAAAAGAGAGAUCUUGAUCACAAAGGUGGGUUUCCCAGGGCAGGGUCUAUCCAUGCACUCGGGAUAUACGGACCCUGCGAUUUCCCCAAAUGUAAGAAACUCGACUGCUGAAAAUGGCCAAACUGUGCUUUGUUUUGCUUUGGG